rnacentral:rRNA from 1 species
AAGUUAAAUAAGGGCGUAUGGGGGAUGCCUAGGCUCUCAGAGGCGAAGAAGGACGCGAUAAGCUGCGAAAAGCUGCGGGGAUCGGCACACACGAAAUGAUCCGCAGGUAUCCGAAUGGGGCAACCCACUAGUUUGAAGAACUAGUACAUCGCAAGAUGGGCAAACCCGGGGAACUGAAACAUCUAAGUACCCGGAGGAGGAGAAAACAAUAGUGAUUCCGUUAGUAGUGGCGAGCGAACGCGGACCAGGCCAGUGCCUGAUUGUAAAUUAGCAGAACAUUCUGGAAAGUUUGACCAUAGUGGGUGACAGUCCCGUAUGCGAAAAUGAUCAAUCAGGACUCGAGUAGGGCGGAACACGUGAAAUUCUGUCUGAACAUGGGGGGACCACCCUCCAAGCCUAAAUACUCGUAUGUGACCGAUAGCGAACAAGUACCGUGAGGGAAAGGUGAAAA